rnacentral:rRNA from 1 species
CCUACGGGAGGCAGCAGUGAGGAAUAUUGGUCAAUGGGCGGGAGCCUGAACCAGCCAAGCCGCGGGGGGGAAGAAGGUACAGCGUAUCGUAAACCUCUUUUGUCAGGGAACAAAGGCGGGGACUAGUCCCCGGAUGAGGUUACCUGAAGAAAAAGCAUCGGCUAACUCGGUGCCAGCAGCCGCGUGAAUACGGAGGAUGCGAGCGUUAUCCGGAUUUAUGGGGUUUAAAGGGUGCGCAGGCGGCCUGUUAAGUCAGCGGUAAAAGCCCGGGGCUCAACCCCGGCGAGCCGUUGAAACUGGCGGGCGGGAGUUGGAGAGAAGUACGCGGAAUGCGCGGUGUAGCGGUGAAAUGCUUAGAUAUCGCGCAGAACCCCGAUUGCGAAGGCAGCGUACCGGCUCCACACUGACGCUGAGGCACGAAAGCGUGGGUAUCGAACAGGAUUAGAUACCCGGGUAGUC